rnacentral:misc_RNA from 1 species
GGUUACUUUGGCAUCCUUGGAAGUAAGCCUUCUUCUUUGUUAUACUGUUCCCCUUUUAUUUUUGUGCCUUAAUUUGAUUUCGCUAUGCUUUUCAUUAAUAUUUUUUCAUUGGUUUUAUAAACUUGUUUUGGUAGGCAUUUUGGUGAUGUUUUUACAAUUUAUACCCUUUCACACUCAUUACUUUUAGUUAAACUUCUUGCAGACUCAAAUUGACUAGUAAAUGUAGUAAAAAUACAGAUCAUUAUCAACUUGAUAAUUAGUGUUUAACUUUGAUGAUCUUCAUUAUUUGUUACAUGGUCUACAUAAUGUAGAAUAAUAUGAGCCUUUUGCAUUUUUUAGCAGGUUAUUUGUUGGGGUUAAUGCUUCAAAAUAACUGCAACCGUUAGUACUUACAUUUUGGAUAAGGUUUAAAUGCUUUAGGAAUCUACUAUAAUUUGACACGAGAAUGAGUCAAUAGAAUGCUAAAGCUUUGGAGAAGUAUUUUAGAGUUAAAGAGCUUUAAGUUAAGCA